rnacentral:rRNA from 1 species
GACGAACGCUGGCGGCGUGCUUAACACAUGCAAGUCGAACGCUGAAGCUCAGCUUUUGUUGGGUGGAUGAGUGGCGAACGGGUGAGUAACACGUGAGUAACCUGCCCCCUUCUUUGGGAUAACGCCCGGAAACGGGUGCUAAUACUGGAUAUUCACUGGUCUUCGCAUGGGGGUUGGUGGAAAGGGUUUUUCUGGUGGGGGAUGGGCUCGCGGCCUAUCAGCUUGUUGGUGGGGUGAUGGCCUACCAAGGCUUUGACGGGUAGCCGGCCUGAGAGGGUGACCGGUCACAUUGGGACUGAGAUACGGCCCAGACUCCUACGGGAGGCAGCAGUGGGGAAUAUUGCAUAAUGGGCGCAAGCCUGAUGCAGCGACGCCACGUGAGGGAUGGAGGCCUUCGGGUUGUGAACCUCUUUCGCUCAUGGUCAAGCCGCAACAAUGGUUGUGGUGAGGGUAGUGGGUAAAGAAGCGCCGGCUAACUACGUG